rnacentral:lncRNA from 1 species
GGAAGUCUCCCCAGGGGAGGGGAACAUUGAGUUAAGCCUUGAAGCCUAAGUAAACAUUAUCUGAGCACCUAAGAAGGAGAAGGCAUUGCAGGCAAAAAGAAAAGCACAUGAAAUAAGUGCUGAAUGGCCAAUGUAACAGAAAUGGAAAUGCAUCCAGAAAGAAGACAAAUAAAUCUGCUUAUGGCCAUGGAUUUAAAAAUGUGGCCCCAGCCAUUUAGCCAUAGGGAAAUGAACUCUACAAACAACUUUAAUGAGCUUGGAAAUGGAUUCUUCUCCCAUCAAGUCCCCAGAUGUAAACAUAGCCUGGUCAAUACUUUGACUGCAGCUUUCUGGGACCCAGUUUAGCCAUGCCUGGACUCAUGGUCUACAAAAACUGUGAGAUAAGCCCUAUGUCUUCUUUCCUUUCUCUCAGAUGGUAAUAGGUUGCUGCUAUGACUAAGGCUGUGCCUUCGAGAACCAGCUGUGUAAGAAAGUGCCCACAAACUCUUCUGGCCUGAUUUAUAGAAGCCUUCCUCAGCAGCCAGCCAUAGAUGCUGCUGGAGCAUCUGGUACCAGAGAGGGGGCAAGAAUGGAGCCUGCAUGGCCCUCCCCCAAUCCUUGACCACCAUGCAUCCCUGCACAAACAUUAGAGAGCAGCGGGAGAACACCCAAUGGGUAUGGGUGACCAAUGGAAAAGGAACUCAUGACUUUUACGUGUGCGUAAAACCUGAGAAAGAGUGUCCUUUGCAGGAGACAUGCCACGAUGGUAGAAAAGGCAAAGUGUGGUGUCUGGUGUCUGCACAUUCGGGUAUUUCAAGCCUUGGCUCGUGUGAUUAAGGCCUCAUUCCAGGAGGUUUCUGAAUCUCUUUUCCCACCUGUAGAAUAAGACCCAAAGUCAUUUUGCCACAAACUAUUUAGUGUGCAUUGGCAAUGUGGACUGGGCAUGAUGCUGGAAGCCAGGAAAACAGAAAUAAAGGAAACGUGGCACCUGCCCUCCAGACUGGGAAAAGACUGGGUUUUUUGGUCUGUUUGUUGGCGGCACCCAUGGUAUGUGGAAGUUUCUGGGCCAGGGAUUGAACCUGAGCCACAGCAGUGACAACGCCAGCUCUUUUACCACUAGGCGACCAGGGGACUCCUGGAAAAGACGGUGAUGUAAAAAAAUUAAACUACCUGAGGGAAAUCAAAAUCUUCCCUUUUGCACCUCCAGUCGGCAGGGCCUAGGACAUCACACAGUGAUAUCCACUGCGUGCCUCCUGAGUGAAUGUGUCGUGCAGAAGGAUGUUAGGUUCAGAACGGGCGACGAAAUUGUACUGGAAGGAGAAGACAGCUUUUAAGUAAGUAGCACAACCUCUUACGGGCAAUUCUGUUAUUAAAUGGUAGUGCCAGUCACGGUGAGAAUAAAAUAGCUAGACUGUCCCACCUAAGAAAUGAACCAGAGCAUUGGAGAGGGAGGUUUAAGGUACUAGAAAGGGGGAGGGAAGAGGAGGAAUGAUAAGAUGCAGGUCGCACCAAAUGGCACCAACCUGAGCUGUCAAGUGAUGCGCUUGGACAGACGCUUGCGCACACGUAGGGUAGAUUCCCAGGGAAGGUCUCCUGGUUACAGCUCCCACGUGGGAGUUGGAGGGAGAUGAAUUAAAAAGAGCUUUUUUGCCAACACUGAUAAAUGGUAGAGGGUAGGAACGGCUCAUGGAGAAACGAAGAGGCGAACAAUGUGAGUGCAUGAAACCAGGGCCGGGGUGACUCGCCUGAGCCCCUGGAGGUCAGAGAAGACACCCGGGAUCCCACCAACGGGGCUUCAAGCCAAAGUGUACCUUCAUCACAACCAGCAAGGUGACCCCUGCAAGCCAGAGAGGAUGGGACGUGUGGGCGAUGACCCUGAAGAAAUGAGAAAAUGAAUGGACGAGGUGUCAGGAGCAGGAGGGGAGGGGAGACGUGCCCCUGUCUGGGGGCAAGGAAGGAAUUUACAGAUAUACCUGUUGUCAUGGGUGAAUUACUGCAGCCUUUGCAAAGGCUGACAAAGCAUCACAGUGUCACUUCUUCCCCACAGAAGAGUCAGGCGGAUACUCAGAGGAGAGCCAUUAGGGGGAAGGGAUGGGGUUAGAAUUUCUGGAAUAAGCUCAACAGGCAGCAAGAACUCAACAGGCUCAUCCAUGGCUCCCAGACCGGAAACAGCCUAGGAGUGAGGGUCGGGGGGCUGAGGGUACCCCUCCUUCCAGACAGACCAGCCUUCUCCCCAGAGGGAUGUUUGCUUCACAUUCCUAUCUAUUUUUUUUCCCCCUCUAUGUUUACCUGAUCAGGGAAAUUGUUAAAAGAGGAAAGAUAAAGAAAGAUGGGAAAAAGUAAAAUUAAAAAAAAAAAAAAAAUGAGCCAGCAGAACAUUAUAUGAACAUGAGCAUAUUUGCGGGCGCACAGACCCAUCUUGGAAAAUGAUUCUUCGGAAGAGGCCUUUGGUGCCAAAUAGUUGAGCAGCUGCCAGUCUUUUAUGACUCUUUAUCACCUCCCCUCCGAUGCGGCAGAUCAAGACAAAUCCGCAUUCCUUCCCCUCCGUCUGGGUCCUGCUCUGAGCCUUUGUCAGCAGCUGCUUUGCGGAGGCUCCGGUUUGAGAAAACCCGCCUGGCAGCUCCAUAUCAGUUCAGAGCAGUGCUUGUACAAAUGGGGUGUCCUCUGGGAGCCAUGGUAGCAGAGACACAACAAACAAAAGCAACCACAGGCUUCCACAGUGAACACUGAAGUCCUCCAUAGCUCCCCAGCACUGUUUAUGCAAUAGCUGAGUGGCCAUAUAGCCCUGGUUCCCCAAAGCCAGAGAGGGGGCAGCUGUUGCAAAUUCUUCAUGAAGAGCUUACAUGUAAAAGAGUUCAGGCUGGGCUUGACCGUGGGGCUGCACGUGUCUCCUGCUGCCAUCUGGUUGUGACUGUCCCACUAUCCUCAUUCAUCCAUUCAUAAUCCCUUCCUUCCUUCCUUCCUCCCCCCUCCUCCCUUCCUUCCUCCUUCUCUUUUCUCUCCUCCCUCCCUUCCUCCUAGCCUUCCUUCCUCCCUCUCCUUUCCCUCCCUUUCUUCCUUCUUUCCCCUUCUUUCACCCCUUUCUCCCCACCUCCCUGCUUCUCUCUCUCUCUUUCUCUUUCUUUCGUUAGUUGGGCAACUGACAGAUGCUCUAAUGCUAGGAUUUGAACUAAGAACAGACGUGGUUUCCAUCCUCAUGGAGCUCAGAACUGAGCUGGAGAAACAGACAGACACACGACCGGUUGGUACGCAUACAACACACACAGCGUGUUUAGCAUGGUGACGAUACCACAGGGGCUGUGGGAAAAAAAAA